rnacentral:rRNA from 1 species
ACGAACGCUGGCGGCAGGCCUAAAACAUGCAAGUCGAACGGGUGUAGUAAUACAUCAGUGGCGCACGGGUGAGUAACGCGUGGGAACAUGCCCCUUAGUACGGGACAACGUCGGGAAACUGACGCUAAUACCGUAUAAUAUCUCCGGAUCAAAGAUUUAUCGCUGAGGGAGUGGCCCGCGUCUGAUUAGCUAGUUGGUGAGGUAAUGGCUCACCAAGGCUACGAUCAGUAGCAGGUCUGAGAGGAUGAUCUGCCACACUGGGACUGAGACACGGCCCAGACUCCUACGGGAGGCAGCAGUUAGGAAUAUUGGACAAUGGGCGAAAGCCUGAUCCAGCCAUGCCGCGUGUGUGAUGAAGGCCCUAGGGUUGUAAAGCACUUUCGUUGGGGAUGAUAAUGACCGUACCCAAAGAAGAAGCACCGGCUAACUUCGU